AAAAAAAGAAUAUCUUCAAAAGAAUCUAACGUAAUUUUUAUACCAUCUUCAAAUACAUUUAGGAGCCUAUAAAGUCCACAGUGGGUCAAAAAGUUUUUUAUGGAAGAAGAGAUGAUAUUGGUGUGUGUGUGUGUGUGUGUGUGUGUGUGUGUGUGUGUGUGUUUGAUUACUGCUAUUCUUAUAAACUGAAAAUAAAAUAUGUUAGGUGCUUGAAUUAGUUGUUCUCAGACGUUUUCAUGUGGGAAGUACUAGCUGGGAGCUUAGAGGGGAGGGUCAACAUAAUUGGUUUGUUUGAAUGAUACUGAUUUGCAGAUUAAGUAAGAAUGUUUGUGUGAUUUAGGAAGAGAAUGACAGCACUUCAGAGAUGAAAAGGUAUUGGAUUUAUAGGGUCUAUUCUCUCAUUAAAUCAUUAUAAAAAUAGAGGCUCAGAGAAGGAAAACAAUUUUUCUAUGAACAUAACAGCUGUCUCGUGCCAAACAUGAAUCUUCCGAGAGUCAAGUCUGUUCUCCUUCCAGUUUUUCAUUAGUUUUAUUUUACAUGACAUUCUCUACAAUAUUUUAAAGAAAAGAUAUAUUUAUAUGUCAUCGACUUUCUAGAAAGUAAUAUUUUUAUUAAUAUUAAAAACAUCUUCAAAAAUUGUUUUUCCCCUGAGAAUGGCUGCUUCUCAAAUAGUGUGUUUUUAAAAAUUAAGAUAGUCUAGUGGUAUACUCAAAUACUCACAUUUAUCUUCUUAGAAAGCACCCAUGUGUAUCUUCCACGUGACAGUUAUGGCUUAAAAAAAAUUCAAAUUUAUGUUGCUGCUGUCCCAUCCACCCAUCUCUACAAUAGAAGAUUCUUUUUUUUUUUUUUUUUUUUUGAGACGGAGUCUCGCUCUGUCGCCCAGGCUGGAGUGCAGUGGCGCGAUCUCGGCUCACUGCAAGCUCCGCCUCCCGGGUUCCCGCCAUUCUCCCGCCUCAGCCUUUCUGAGUAGCUGGGACUACAGGCGCCCGCCACCACACCCGGCUAAUUUUUUUUGUACUUUUAUAGAGAUACAGUUUCACCAUGUUAGCUAGGCUGGUCUUGAACUCCUGACCUCAGAUGAUCUGCUGGCCUCAGUCUCCCAAAGUGCUGGGAUUACAGGUGUGAGCCACCGCACCCACCCCACCAUGUAUAUUUCUGACAGCCUCUUCAGAAGGCUGAUAACUUUGUGAUAUUCUUCACAGGUCCCCAGUGUCUCUCUCAGCUUGGCCAGGGCCCACCCACCUACCCCUUUGUAGAAUCUCAAAGCAACACCUCAGCAUCCUGGGAGAUUGGCAUGAUAAUAUUCGUUUUUCAGAACAAGAACCAAACUGACAAGGAACAGCCAUAGGAGGCUCAGAUCAGGGCUAUCUCCCCUCAGUGACAGGGAGGUCUGUCUCUUUGGGAAAGGUUGAAGACAGCUAAACUGGAGUGGUUGCCAGGGGGAGAGGGGGAUCCAGAACCCAAUAAACAACCACACUGGAUUCUUCUACAGUCACAGCAUCCCAGAGCCAGAAGAGAGCCUGAAAAUCAUCAAGCGUGGUGGUCAUCAAGCAGUUGUUGCUGAUGUGUUCAGGCAGUGGAAUUCUUUUUGAAAUUAAAUCUUCUGUAGAUCCCUGGCAUAGAAAACAAUUAAAAUUGAGGAAGAGGUUGCUGAGCAGUGAAAACACCCUCACCGUUUGAUAGAAAGAUUCCUCUCAUGGCAUACGGAGGCCUGCAACACUGCUGUGGGAAGUUUCCCAGGCUCCAUUUGAACAUGGGAUUCUCAAAAGAACACUGACAGGGAGCUCACUCCCACUAAAGCUCACUCCACCAUAGGUAGCCCAGACUAGUAGAGGGUAUCUUCCUGGCAAAGACCUGGAAUCUGAGUCCUGCUAGCUUAUAUUCAUGGAUGUUAGCUUACCUUUGAGGCCAAAUAAAUUAACUUGUAUCCCCAUUUCACAUGGGAAAAUCUUCAUAUAUUCAAAACUAGCAGGUAUGUUUUCUUUUAGACAUGCCCUUCACUACCUGGCAGGCUGUCUAUGCCCCAUCUCUCCCACACAUGUGCCCAAGCUCACCCCACCUCUGCCCCUGCCGCGGCCUUAUCGAGACUUUCUGUACAUCUGUCUGUGUGUGCUAGGGGCACAGCCUUCACGAGGACCCAGGGGCUCCUCAGGGAAAUCCACAGGCCCUUGUGCAUGUGAACAGUAAGGAAAGGAAAGGAUUUUUCUGCUGGGUUCUUUAUCCCCUCCUCCCACCCCCUUCAAAGAUGACCCCACCCCUUCUGAACUGAGGGCCAUGAAAACUGGCUUGUGGCCAUUUAGAAGAGCAUCAGAUUCUGGGGGCAAAUUCUCAACAGACUUUGCAUGUGAAAAGAAAAUAAAAACAGCUGAAUUACAGACAAGAAAUUAAUCUGCCCCCUUCCCCCUCAAGAAAAGGCAUCCUAACAGAACUACUUCAAGAUUGCAAGGGAGACUUCCUGCACAGUAACAUUAAAUGUUUCCAGCAGAUCAACAGCUGGAAAAGCAAAGUUUUUUUUUUUUUUUUUAAGUGUUAACAUUUCACAGUUCAGAUCGCUUAACAGAUGUAAAAUUAUAGGAUAUACUUAGCAUUUAGGUUUUAAAAACUUAUUAGCUAAAUAUCUUUUUGGAAAAUACAGUUGAUGGUUAGUUCUUCUUGAGGAUGAUGGCAAGAAUUUUUUAAAUGUUCAUUAUACUAAAUCAUACUUUAAUCAGCUUAACAUGUGGCUUACGCAGGUUUACCUAAGAUUAACUGGACAUUUUAAGGCCUAGGAACAGAUUGUUCUACUGACCAGCCAACUAAUGUAAACGAUGAGAAGAACCAGGACUAGGAAUGAUAUCAGACGCAAAGUGAACAUCCCAUAAUCGAAACGGAUAAUGACUCACGCUGGUGAGUGAAGGGACAUCAGGAUCACAGGUUCAAAGGCAAGGAGACCCUUAUCCAGGCAGCAUGCCUGGGACAGCAGGGAGAGGUGGUGUCCAGCCACUGCCCUUCAAGUAGGGGAAAAGUGAGUGCAGAGGAUUGAACCAGAGAACGGAAGCCGCUAACUUGACAGAAAUAGACCUGGUGAGGGAAGGUUAGUGGAAUUGGGGUGGUUUUGACCUCAGAAGAAAAGAAAAAGGGCAAUUUGAUUACUAUUGUCAAGCACAUGAUUGACUCUUAUAAAGAGGCUUUAGGGAAAUUAAAUGAAAGCAGGAGAAAUUCAGGUGGCCAUUUCCAGAGGGAGGCCAGGCAAGCCAAGCGGGAAGUGAUCAGCCAGGGAUUUAGAGGACCUGGGUGGACCCAGCUUGUCACUAUCAUGUGGGGACACCUGAGAUAAGCAUCUUACCCUCUUGGGCCUCAGUUUCUUCAUCUUUAAGAUAAGAAGACUGUAGCAAA